UAUGGUCACAUCACAUUGAAACAUCAAUUCCCAUAAGAUCACAAAAGCUAAGCAACAUUGAGCCUGAUUAGUACCUAGAUGGGUGACCACUUGGGAAUACUAGGUACUGUAAG